rnacentral:rRNA from 1 species
UUUAGCAGCCGUAUCACCCUGUAGCCCAAGACUGGUUGCCCACUGAAGCUAAGCAGGGCUGAGCCUGGUCAGUACCUGGAUGGGAGACCUUCUGAGAAAACUAGGUUGCUGCAGUUG